rnacentral:tRNA from 1 species
CAGAAAGUAGUUUAUUUAAAAUACCAGCUUUGGGAGCUGGAGAAGGAGGUUAGGUCCUCUCUUUUUGA